rnacentral:rRNA from 1 species
AAGGGCGUGCUAAUCUGCGAUAAGCGCCGGUAAGGUGAUAUGAACCGUUAUAACCGGCGAUACCCGAAUGGGGAAACCCAGUGUGAUUCGUCACACUAUCAUUAACUGAAUCCAUAGGUUAAUGAGGCGAACCGGGGGAACUGAAACAUCUAAGUACCCCGAGGAAAAGAAAUCAACCGAGAUUCCCCCAGUAGCGGCGAGCGAACGGGGAGGAGCCCAGAGCCUGAAUCAGCAUGUGUGUUAGUGGAAGCGUCUGGAAAGGCGCGCGAUACAGGGUGACAGCCCCGUACACAAAAGCGCAUGUGCUGUGAGCUCGAUGAGUAGGGCGGGACACGUGGUAUCCUGUCUGAAUAUGGGGGGACCAUCCUCCAAGGCUAAAUACUCCUGACUGACCGAUAGUGAACCAGUACCGUGAGGGAAAGGCGAAAAGAACCCCGGCGAGGGGAGUGAAAAAGAACCUGAAACCGUGUACGUACAAGCAGUGGGAGCACAGGUUUACCUGUGUGACUGCGUACCUUUUGUAUAAUGGGUCAGCGACUUAU